rnacentral:lncRNA from 1 species
AGAAUAAAAAAUUUAUUGAAAUGCUUAUAAUUUCGCAAAUUUAUAUUAUCGCAUUGGUAGCUCUGAAAAUCAAUGCUUUAUCCCAAAAUCAAACAUUUACGCUUGCUGUAUACUUCAUAAAGAAAUGCAUUAGCCCGGCUAUAGUAAAUUACGAUUUGCUAACAAAACCAUUGGGGAACUGUGCUACCACUAUAGGAAGCUAUAUAGAUUGUAUGAACAACACUAAAAAUAACACAAUAUAUUAUCAUCCUUGUCCUUAUCUUUUUUUUGAA